rnacentral:rRNA from 1 species
GAUGAACGCUGGCGGCGUGCCUAAUACAUGCAAGUCGAACGAGGUGCUUUUGUAGCAAUACGAGAGUAUCCUAGUGGCGAACGGGUGAGUAACGCGUUGGUGACCUACCCCAAAGUGUGGGAUAACAGUCCGAAAGGAUUGCUAAUACCGCAUGUGGUCAUUGGAUUUAGAAACUGAUGACUCAAGGGGCAAUUCGCUUUGGGAGGGACCUGCGUACCAUCAGCUAGUUGGGGAGGUAAUGGCUCACCAAGGCGACGACGGGUAGGGGACCUGAGAGGGUGACCCCCCACAAUGGAACUGAAACACGGUCCAUACACCUACGGGUGGCAGCAGUAGGGAAUAUUGCUCAAUGGGCGAAAGCCUGAAGCAGCAACGCCGCGUGUGUGAUGAAGGCCUUCGGGUCGUAAAGCACUUUUCUGGGAGAUGAGAAAGGACAGUAUCCCAGGAAUAAGUCUCGGCUAACUACGUGCCAGCCGCCGCGGUAAGAC